rnacentral:rRNA from 1 species
CCUACGGGUGGCAGCAGUGAGGAAUAUUGGUCAAUGGGCGAGAGCCUGAACCAGCCAAGUCGCGUGAAGGAUGACGGCCCUACGGGUUGUAAACCUCUUUUGUCAGGGAGCAAUUGAGUCCACGUGUGGUCUUUGCGAGAGUACCCGAAGAAAAAGCAUCGGCUAACUCCGUGCCAGCAGCCGCGGUAAUACGGAGGAUGCGAGCGUUAUCCGGAUUUAUUGGGUUUAAGGGGUGCGUAGGCGGAAUUUCAAGUCAGCGGUAAAAUUUCGGGGCUCAACCCCGUCGUGCCGUUGAAACUGAGGUUCUUGAGUGGGCGAGAAGUAGGCGGAAUGCGUGGUGUAGCGGUGAAAUGCAUAGAUAUCACGCAGAACUCCGAUUGCGAAGGCAGCAUACCGGCGCACAACUGACGCUGAAGCACGAAAGCGUGGGUAUCGAACAGGAUUAGAUACCCUUGUAGUC